GCCACCCUAGCUCAGCUGGCAGAGCAGCUCACUCGUAAUGAGCAGGUCGUCGGUUCGAAUCCGACGGGUGGCU
rnacentral:tRNA from 1 species